AGUCGAGCGGUAGAGAGAAGCUUGCUUCUCUUGAGAGCGGCGGACGGGUGAGUAAUACCUAGGAAUCUGCCUGAUAGUGGGGGAUAACGUUCGGAAACGGACGCUAAUACCGCAUACGUCCUACGGGAGAAAGCAGGGGACCUUCGGGCCUUGCGCUAUCAGAUGAGCCUAGGUCGGAUUAGCUAGUUGGUGAGGUAAUGGCUCACCAAGGCUACGAUCCGUAACUGGUCUGAGAGGAUGAUCAGUCACACUGGAACUGAGACACGGUCCAGACUCCUACGGGAGGCAGCAGUGGGGAAUAUUGGACAAUGGGCGAAAGCCUGAUCCAGCCAUGCCGCGUGUGUGAAGAAGGUCUUCGGAUUGUAAAGCACUUUAAGUUGGGAGGAAGGGCAGUUACCUAAUACGUGAUUGUCUUGACGUUACCGACAGAAUAAGCACCGGCUAACUCUGUGCCAGCAGCCGCGGUAAUACAGAGGGUGCAAGCGUUAAUCGGAAUUACUGGGCGUAAAGCGCGCGUAGGUGGUUUGUUAAGUUGAAUGUGAAAUCCCCGGGCUCAACCUGGGAACUGCAUCCAAAACUGGCAAGCUAGAGUAUGGUAGAGGGUAGUGGAAUUUCCUGUGUAGCGGUGAAAUGCGUAGAUAUAGGAAGGAACACCAGUGGCGAAAGCGACUACCUGGACUGAUACUGACACUGAUGUGCGAAAGCGUGGGGAGCAAACAGGA
rnacentral:rRNA from 1 species